UACGAAGGGGGCUAGCGUUGCUCGGAAUUACUGGGCGUAAAGCGCACGUAGGCGGCUUUCUAAGUCAGGGGUGAAAUCCUGGAGCUCAACUCCAGAACUGCCUUCGAUACUGGCGAUCUCGAGUCCGGGAGAGGUGAGUGGAACUGCGAGUGUAGAGGUGAAAUUCGUAGAUAUUCGCAAGAACACCAGUGGCGAAGGCGGCUCACUGGCCCGGUACUGACGCUGAGGUGCGAAAGCGUGGGGAGCAAACAGG
rnacentral:rRNA from 1 species